CCUACGGGAGGCAGCAGUGGGGAAUUUUGGACAAUGGACGCAAGUCUGAUCCAGCCAUGCCGCGUGUGGGAAGAAGGCCUUCGGGUUGUAAACCACUUUUGUCAGGGAAGAAACGGCUCUUACUAAUAUUAGGAGCUAAUGACGGUACCUGAAGAAUAAGCACCGGCUAACUACGUGCCAGCAGCCGCGGUAAUACGUAGGGUGCAAGCGUUAAAUCGGAAUUACUGGGCGUAAAGCGUGCGCAGGCGGUUAUGCAAGACAGAUGUGAAAUCCCCGGGCUCAACCUGGGAACUGCAUUUGUGACUGCAUAGCUAGAGUACGGUAGAGGGGGAUGGAAUUCCGCGUGUAGCAGUGAAAUGCGUAGAUAUGCGGAGGAACACCGAUGGCGAAGGCAAUCCCCUGGACCUGUACUGACGCUCAUGCACGAAAGCGUGGGGAGCAAACAGGAUUAGAUACCCUGGUAGUCCACGCCCUAAACGAUGUCAACUGGUUGUUGGAGGGUUUCUNUCAGUAACGUAGCUAACGCGUGAAGUUGACCGCCUUGGGGAGGUAACGGCGCGAGUUAGUAAGUUAGAAGAAGUUAGAGGCGNGAGAGNGCGACGGACGACGACGAGGGAGGAGG
rnacentral:rRNA from 1 species